UGGAAUUCCUUCGUAAUUAAUGUAAGUAUUUGUAUGUGAACAAACAAAAGUUCCUUUUGAGCUGUGAAUUUCGAGUUAUGAAGUCUUAGAAGACUUUGUUUUUUCUUCUGCAAAGAAUUUAGAAAUCACCGUGUUUAACCUCAAAGUUGAGCAUUCAGCGUGUCUCACAGUGUUUAACCUCGAAAGUCGUCAGUUUCAUAGUUCUAAUAUUUUUCUAGCAUGAGUGACGACGAACCAACACCGAACCCAUACGAUAUUGUAAAGUUUCAUGGUGAGCGAAAUGAGGAAGGCCUCCCAGUCCUUGAGAUCAUUGGUAUUAAGUGGUAUUCCCAAAGAGAUGAUGAAACGAAACAGGGCCUGUGUCAAUUUCCCCCCAAAGAUGAUUGAGGAAAAUUAGAAAAAUGGCUAAAAAAUCAAAUCGACCCCAAAUCUAAAUGGGAAACAUACAGCGUUGAGAUUUUGGCUUCUGCAGAUUGUUAUGAACAAGCACAGAGAAGACUGAAACGUCUGUAUAAGAAAGUCACAGAUGUGGAAUCCACUAAUUUUGAUUCUGAGGGAGGUAAUCAAGUGCAUCGUGUAUCCAGGACACGAGCAGCAUUGAUACUGCAAUCUACAUCCUCACUACAAUCUACAACCUCUUUGCAAUCCUUGAUUGAAUCACCUGGAGACCAUGACACCUGGAAUGUUUCUCGUCGUCGAUCAGUGUCUGCGUCCGCUAGUCGUGCUACAUCCCCCUAUACUCCACAAACCCUAAAUGAUGGCAAUCAUCAUCAGGUAUGACUGAGAACAUUGCAACUGCUCCCCUUCAAACGAGAGCAGCAACAAAUGUGACCCAGACCAAAGGAGAGAGAAGAAUCGAACUUAAAAAACGUCUCGAAACUCUACGCCAGCUGGUGCAAGGACAUUCUAACAAAACUUUUGUCGCUGACUAUCUGGAUACAAGUAUGGAAUUAUGGGCUUCAAAGGUGCAGAACGAUAUUGAGAACUCUAGGAGGACGCAACAGCACGACUUGGGUAGGAAAAUGGAAGACUUGAAGGUCUCGUUCCCUACUCAAGUUACCACAGGCGAUGAGCCAAGUUCUCCAUCAGAUAUCCCAGGAGUAGCAUUCCCCAUAGCGACUUUGGAGGAUUUUGAAAAAUUCGAGAAAAUGUUGGAUCCCAAGGAUGAGGCGAACCCAGCCAAUCCCGAUGCUGCACUGCAGAACCAAGGAGCUCUGUAAAACAUAAUGAAACUCAAGACACAAGGUUCUAAUGAUUAUGAGAAGAACAUUAAAAUUAUUAUGCCAACAUUAAUCAAGAAGGAGGUUCAGGGACAUUACAGUGGAUUUGGUCGUACGAAGAAAGGCGUAGGAAAGAAAAAUUUCAGUGCCACGAUGACAUUCAAGUGCUUGGAAGCGUUCCUUGAGCAAAAAUUUGCCGGUGGAACAGUAAAAUUCAUCACUGGAUCCAUAGUGAGUGCGUGGUUGGGAGACUGGAGUGAUCGUGAAGGAGGUGGUGCCAAACGAAAGAGAGGGGAGGAUUAGAUAGAAAAAAAAACAUAUUUCCUAAAAAUAUUAUUCCACUUGACUAGUUUUAUCUUCAGGAUAUU